rnacentral:rRNA from 1 species
GACGAACGCUGGCGGCGUGCUUAACACAUGCAAGUCGAACGGAAAGGCCCUGCUUUUGUGGGGUGCUCGAGUGGCGAACGGGUGAGUAACACGUGAGUAACCUGCCCUUGACUUUGGGAUAACUUCAGGAAACUGGGGCUAAUACCGGAUAGGAGCUCCUGCUGCAUGGUGGGGGUUGGAAAGUUUCGGCGGUUGGGGAUGGACUCGCGGCUUAUCAGCUUGUUGGUGGGGUAGUGGCUUACCAAGGCUUUGACGGGUAGCCGGCCUGAGAGGGUGACCGGCCACAAUGGGACUGAGGUACGGCCCAGACUCCUACGGGAGGCAGCAGUGGGGAAUAUUGCACAAUGGGCGGAAGCCUGAUGCAGAAACGCCGCGUGCGGGAUGACGGCCUUCGGGUUGUAAACCGCUUUCGCCUGUGACGAAGCGUGAGUGACGGUAAUGGGUAAAGAAGCACCGGCUAACUACGUG